rnacentral:rRNA from 1 species
UACGGGGGGAGCAAGCGUUGUUCGGAUUUACUGGGCGUAAAGGGCGCGUAGGCGGCCAGCCACAAGUCAGUUGUGAAAUCUCCGAGCUUAACUCGGAAAGGUCAACUGAUACUGUGCGGCUAGAGUGCGGAAGGGGCAACUGGAAUUCUUGGUGUAGCGGUGGAAUGCGCAGAUAUCAGGAGGAACACCGGUGGCGAAGGCGGAUCUCUGGGCCAUUACUGACGCUGAGGAGCGAAAGCGUGGGGAGCGAACAGG